rnacentral:tRNA from 1 species
AAAAAGAUAAGCUAAGUUAAGCUUUUGGGUUCAUACCCCAAAUAUAAAGGCAAUCCUUUUCUUUUUA